rnacentral:rRNA from 1 species
UAGGGAAUCUUCGGCAAUGGGGGCAACCCUGACCGAGCAACGCCGCGUGAGUGAAGAAGGUUUUCGGAUCGUAAAGCUCUGUUGUAAGAGAAGAACGAGUGUGAGAGUGGAAAGUUCACACUGUGACGGUAACUUACCAGAAAGGGACGGCUAACUACGUGCCAGCAGCCGCGGUAAUACGUAGGUCCCGAGCGUUAUCCGGAUUUAUUGGGCGUAAAGCGAGCGCAGGCGGUUAGAUAAGUCUGAAGUUAAAGGCUGUGGCUUAACCAUAGUACGCUUUGGAAACUGUUUAACUUGAGUGCAGAAGGGGAGAGUGGAAUUCCAUGUGUAGCGGUGAAAUGCGUAGAUAUAUGGAGGAACACCGGUGGCGAAAGCGGCUCUCUGGUCUGUAACUGACGCUGAUGUGCGAAAGCGUGGGGAUCAAACAGGAUUAGAUACCCUGGUAGUCCACGCCGUAAACGAUGAGUGCUAGGUGUUAGACCCUUUCCGGGGUUUAGUGUCGCAGCUAACGCAUUAAGCACUCCGCCUGGGGAGUACGACCGCAAGGUUG